rnacentral:rRNA from 1 species
UCGGGAAUUUUGGGCAAUGGGCGAAAGCCUGACCUAGCAACGCCGCGUGAAGGAUGAAGUAUUUCGGUAUGUAAACUUCGAAAGAAUAGGAAGAAUAAAUGACGGUACUAUUUAUAAGGUCCGGCUAACUACGUGCCAGCAGCCGCGGUAAUACGUAGGGACCAAGCGUUGUUCGGAUUUACUGGGCGUAAAGGGCGCGUAGGCGGCAAUUCAAGUCAUCUGUGAAAUCUCCGGGCUUAACUUGGAACGGUCAGAUGAUACUGCUUUGCUAGAGUGCGGAAGGGGCAAUCGGAAUUCUUGGUGUAGCGGUUGAAAUGCGUAGAUAUCAAGAGGAACACCUGAGGUGAAGACGGGUUGCUGGGCUGACACUGACGCUGAGGCGCGAAAGCCAGGGGAGCAAACGGGAUUAGAUACCCUAGUAGUCCCUGAGCGGGCUGGCAAGGCGCAU